rnacentral:rRNA from 1 species
CAGCAGUGAGGAAUAUUGGUCAAUGGGCGAGAGCCUGAACCAGCCAAGUAGCGUGAAGGAUGACUGCCCUAUGGGUUGUAAACUUCUUUUAUGAGGGAAUAAAGUGCACCACGUGUGGUGUUUUGUAUGUACCUCAUGAAUAAGGAUCGGCUAACUCCGUGCCAGCAGCCGCGGUAAUACGGAGGAUCCGAGCGUUAUCCGGAUUUAUUGGGUUUAAAGGGAGCGUAGGCGGCAGGUUAAGUCAGUUGUGAAAGUUUGCGGCUCAACCGUAAAAUUGCAGUUGAUACUGGCCUGCUUGAGUGCGGCAGAGGCAGGCGGAAUUUGUGGUGUAGCGGUGAAAUGCUUAGAUAUCACGAAGAACUCCGAUUGCGAAGGCAGCUUGCUGGAGCGUAACUGACGCUGAUGCUCGAAAGUGCGGGUAUCAAACAGGAUUAGA